CAGUGGAACGCACGUGUACCUGACUAUUAUCUUAACACCUAGACUCCUCUAGGGCGCGCAUUGCCAACGUAUUGGAAAUUAAAGUUCGCGCGCCUUACAAACAGUUUUGCACUAUUUUUAUUUAUACUUGUAGCUGAGCUACCGAGGCCUGUGUCAGUAAAACCAAUAUUUACUCAGCUCUACAUCAUCGGAUAUUUUUUGCUUAAGUAGAUGCAUAUUCAGUCAUGAUUAUCAGGAGAUGGUUAUUGUGCCUGUUGCUUGCAAGUGCUCGGCUGGUUGUUUUUUGCAAGAGAAAGGACCACAUUCAGAAAUCAGCCUUACAGCUUUUUGAAAAAGAAUCCAAAGAUGUGGACCUCGAUAGCUGCAAAAAUAGCCAACAAGUGACUAUAACCAAGCUGAGACUCAAUGGCAAGGUGGAUAAAUUGAAAGUGUGCCUGCUCAAGUCACUCAGUUCCAGUCUUGAAAACAGUUGGACGUGGUCAGAGUUGGGGAGCCUGUACGCUGCUCAGGAAGACAAACCAAAGGCAAACACAUGCUUCAAGCAAGCAGCGAAGCUGUCCGGCAAGGUGACACCAUUCAUCAGCACCUGGCAUUUCAUUGGCCCAUUUGUCAUCGGCAAAAUAGAAGUUGAUGGGGAUCCCCUUGAACCCUGGGGAGGUAUUACUGCCGCAGCCAAGCAACGAUACAACAAGAAGGUCAGCUUCUUCUCCGAACUUGUACCAGGUGGAGAAGUGCAGUGGAAGACAUACCAACAAACAAAUUCACGUCAGCCAUUACAGAUAACUCCAGACAUCAACUUCAAUGAGCUUGUCUCCUCCCUAGGAUCAUUGGCAGUCACUGAAUGGCAGGGCUGGAUUUUAGGUGAAGUUGCUGUCAACAGCAAAGAUGAAAACAUCCUUGUUCAGUGUUUAGGUGUACACACUAUCUUUGUUGAUGAUGUCAUCAUAGUGGCUGAUGUCUAUCGGCGUGAACGAUACUGGUUUAGUGUUUCACUAUCACCUGGUAUUCACACUGUUUACAUCAGAUUGAGAGCCAAACAAACUCAGGUUCUAAAAUGCAGUUUUAAAUCAGCCGGCUCAGAAACCUUUGAGGUUCAUCAACCCACCAUGCUGCCAGAUCUAGUCGAAGGCCACAUUUUUGGCAAUGUCUUGGCUCUUCCGGUCACAAAUCUACAGUCUGAAAAAUGGCUCAAGAAUAUCCGAGUCACCAUGGCAAGACAGGGCCAGGGGCCUCCUCUGGAGUUGCACCAGGUGAAGGAGUCAGGCCUACCAGUUAAUAUAGCUCCUGGUCAGACUCUACUGGUUGCGGUAACAUUCCAGCAAGCGCCACCUCUCAAUAAUCAAGGAUGCUCUGGUGAUACAUCACUGGUGCUUGAGGUGUCUUCCUCAGGAAGUGGUUCUCAACAACUCCCCAUAACACUGAGGUGUCGCAAAGUAGGGGAGUCUUUUCUGUUUACAUUCUUUGAUCAUGAUGGCUCGGUCCAACAUGCAGCUGCCAUUCAGCCACUGGAAGAUUGUCCCAACAAUGUCUGUCCAGUGUUGAUGACUCUUCAUGGAACAGGAGUCAGGGCGCAAAAUCAAGCCGAUGGCUAUAAGAGAAUGCACAAUGGCAGAUGGAUCUUUGGACUUGAAACAGCGUGGGUCCUGGCACCAACCAGGCACGGGGCUCACAAUUGGGAGGGACCUGGAGCUCUCACAGCAAUGACAGCCCUGGAAGUUCUGCAAAAGUUGAGCCAAGAUACUUCCUGGAUUCCCAACAAGGCAGAUGCCCACCAUGUGUUCUUUGCAGGUCACUCUAUGGGAGGCCAUGGAGCGUGGCAUCUAGCAACACACUACCCUGACCGGGCGCUGGCUGUGAUCUCAUUGGCUGGCUGGAUCAAGAAGGAGGAAUAUGGCGACAGCAAUGUGUUUUUCCGGCAUGACUUGAGUACCAGCUAUACAGACCCUUCUGUCAAAGCCAUUAUGGAGGCCUGUAUUGCAGAAAAUGAUGCAGAUAAGCACAUUUCCAAUCUGAAGGGUAUCCCUGUUCUGGCAAGAAUCGGUGCCCUUGAUCGGACAGUACACCCAUACUUCGUAAGGCGAAUGGUUCGUCUUUUGAAAGAGGCAGGUGUUAAUGUGACCUAUAGUGAGCUGCCAGGGAAGGAACAUUGGUGGUGGGACACCUGGAAAACAAAUGACGGUGGCGCGGUGAAUGAUCCCCAACUCCGCAACUUUGUUAAUGGAGCUGCCAGGCAGUGGUGGGAAGGGACUCCUGAGGAUAAGCCCUCAUCCUGUGUCUCUGAUGGCUGUGCCUCCCAGGAAUCCCCCUCAGCCCUCUAUGGCUUGAAAGGAGCAGUGCCAGAUGAGGGGGUGGAGGUGUACACACUCAGCGUGGUGAACCCAGCGCUUGGCGAGGGACUGUUGGGGGUGCAGGUGCAGAGACAGAGGAUGCCACUGAGAAUAAGCACCGUACAAAUGCGUUUCAAUGGCAAGCUCGCCCAUCUCACCACCCACAAUGUGGAAGCUCUCAGUCUUGCUGAUGUAGGUCGUCUGUCUCUGCCGUGGAGAGAAAGAGAUAUUCAGAUUGAUGGUCAUCAGCUGCACUGCCAACAUGGUACCGUGAAACCAAACCAAGAAAUUAGAAUCUGCCGAGAUAACCAGGGUUUGUGGGAGGCGUGUGGGAAUCACCUUGAUGUGUCUUCUGUACCCCGAGGCCCUACCAACCUGGGACCAGCCAGAAGGGUCGUCGAACAUCCUUUCCUCAUUGUAACAGGCACCAAGGACAAGACUCUGAGUGCCAGGCUCCUGCAGCUGUCCGUUUAUAUCGCAAAUCUCUUCUACCUAGCCUCUGAUGCCGUUGCCAUGGUAAUAGAGGACAGCACGCUGCGCCAGGAGAUUGCCACCUCUCGCAAUCUGAUCGUUGUGGGCGGGUCGUCGGAAAAUUCUUGGGCACAGCCUUUCCUGGAUCAGGUGCCACUGGGAGCAAGUGGAAAUGGUCUGGAGCUUGGCGAUUGUGAAUUCAAAGAGAAAAGAACUGGGGCCUUGUUUCUGGCUCCUCAUCACGCGGGGAGACUUGCCCUGGUCUUGCUUGGAAAUAGUCCUGAAGGAAUCGAAGAUGUUGUGCGUCUUGCUAGUCCGACCAUCCCUCCCAUGACUCGGUCUCCUUUCUCGAACCUGGUACCAGACUUCGUCGUGACCGGGCCGUUGUUUGGAGGAAAGGGACCAGGGGGCUACCUGUGCACAGGCCUCUGGGGCAACCAAUGGGAUUACAGGCCGGAACUCGCUUCCUGUGCAUGCUGAUUGUCGCUGUACAUCAUGGUAUUCCCCAAACCCUGGAAAGUCAUGGAAAUGGACAGAAAUCAUUUCCGACCUUAGAAGGGUCUGAUUUUUUAAAUUUAAAUUGGCAAACGUCAAGAUAAUGUAGAAUUCACGUGCAAGGAUCCAAUCAUUUUAAUUUUUUUUCAAAUUCUAUAUCAUCAUUUUAGCAUUUUGGAUAUCAUUGAAUAUCGUCCCGUGACGGCCUUAUCAUGAAUGUGAUAAGGUGCCAAAGACGUUUUAUACUUCUGAUCUACAUUUUGACGAACUGGUUCACGGAAUUUUGAGCACUAGGGGCCUACAUGCAGGUAGUGGGAAAGUCAGGAAAUUCCAUGUCCUGAAGAUGCGGGGAUCUUGAUACACGUAUGCGAUCUUCAAGACUGAACAGUUUCUACACACGUAUUGCUACAGUGAUCAGUGCUCAUGAUAUGACAAGGAGACAGCAACAGAAAGCGUCUGUUAUCCUGGAGGCUGUCGUUCAAACGCCAGGUGACUGGGGAAGACUUUGUAAAGUGCUGGGGUGUUGUGCGAAAGAUAUUUGCACCAUAUGACACCAUAUCGUGAGUUAAUAUUUGAAGAAGCUCUGGAGAAACAUGCUGGACAGAACCAAGGCUAUGGAGUACCGAAGUGAAUACGUCACGCGCACAGGGUACACGUAAAAGGCAAUUAGCGCGAGAACCUGUACAUGAACCAACACGCGCGCGCACUCCAUUCGUUUGCUCUACACAUUUCGGUUCAAGAUGACGUCAAACUUCAGUACUCUAUUAUAGGUACGACUCUAAAGCAAGAAGAGUAAGGGGGGUGACAAUUUCAAGUUUAGAAAUUUACCCCCAAGCACGCCAAGUCUUUGUUUGUUUGGCGGGAAUUUUCUUUUCAAUCUGCUUGAGCAACUAAAACACUGACGCUUUGAACGGAACGGUUUUGUCUCCCUUUGUCUACAGGCGUAAUCCAAGUACUGCUUUAACUAUUGAAUGCACGUAGUUCGUCCGUGGGGCCUGGUAGGUAAGAUGACCUGGUUUCCAUUGACAGGCCAUUAUCACGACAAUUUAAAAAUAAUCAAAAUGAAGGGGGAAACGCCCAUGUAUGACCAAGGGAGGAUCGACCACCAACUCUGCAGACUGCUGUUUUGUCUACAAUGUCAUGCAAUGAAAGUGACAGUUAGUGAUUCAAUUUUUUGAAAGUUCAAGACGUCAAAUAUCAAAUGAUAAUGUUCUGAACGAAACAACGGCUACUAUACGUGUUAACAAGAGUUUGAGCCGUAAAUUAUGGUUUAGUCGGCGGGCCCACUGUCAGAAGCGCUACAAGCUCCCGAAUGGGGGGGGGGCGAAUUUUGAAGAAGGUAAUGCCGCAUCGUAUCGAAGCUGAGAUUAGCUCAGGACGAGUGUCCAUCGACGCCGUCUUCUGAUUCGAUUACAGGCGCGAACAUUGUCACCAGGAAUGACUGGGGACACGCCAACCGGCUCGAUCAGGUGUUGACAGGGUGUGAUAGACACGGCUUUGGGCGGCUGCCAACUGGAAGUGAUUGCCAGUAAGCGAAGGUCUGUGUUAACCUCAUCCCGUGCUUUAAAGAAUUGUGGUGUACGAGCUACCCAUGUGAAAUGAUGAGCACGUUGUUGAGUAGGAGGUUCAUGUUUACACUUGCAAUCCUUUCCGUGUCCAAAGUUGCCACGGUAUGUGUGUGUGGCUUCAUGCAGUUUACCGUGGAAGCCCCGUAUGCACAACAUUUCAUGAUGUUGAUGGAGCGCUUGAAAUGCAUACAUGAAUUUGCUCGCUAAUUUUCCUAUUUGUUUUUCUAUUAUGAACGUACAUGUACCGCUGGUUGAUGAGUAAGAUGCCCCUGCGCAAAGCAUGGACGAAGAUGUGAAAAUUAAGAUGAACCUUGCUGUGCUGCUGUCAAAUGAGCUUACUACUGUGACUUCAUUGCGCAGACAAGUAGCAAGCAGACUGUGCAUUUCGAGGUUGUUUUAUACGGGCUUUGAAUGUGUAGAGUAGAUCGGUCUUACUGAGCAACAACGGUCAACGUGUUUUCCCAACCAGUAGAUAGGCCUAUAGUAUACAGGAUUCAACAAAUGACGGUAUUUCAAUGAAACUCGUUAACUAAAAAAUGUACGGGUACAUCCUGAGCGAUAGUGUUUAAAUGGCAGUGUUGAAUAAUUAGUGUUUUCAAUGAAACACGUAUACUAGUACAUAGUUUUGGUAGGCCUACUCGUGCGUGAUUCUUCUAAAAUGAAUUACAGUUACUCCUAACAUCACCAAUCAAUCAGCAAAAAGAACAGCUCAGAUUUUAAUCUUUGCCGUAACAUAUAUAUUUUUUUAGGUAUAUGAAAGGUUCAGUUCAACAGAUACAAUCACUAGAUUGGAUUUAAAUCCAUGUAUUUAUGGAGAAGCUGAAGUAUGUCAAACCCUUUAUGGGUAAAUGUGCAAUGCUAGAAUUGCAAAUUUCCCUUGAUGAAAGAUGUUAAAUCUUGACAUUCGGCUUGGAUAGGGCCUGCCAUGCGUUUCCCUUUUCUGACUUUGGGCAGGUGGUCAAACUAUACACGUCCAGGCUAUAUCAUUUCACGACGAGACUUGUCAUUGACCAUAUUGCGACAAUUGAACACGUUGUCGGCCAAGCCAUUUUCCCAGUCGAGUGCGCUGUCGGGGAAUGAUCCCACAGUCCUACCGGCUUAACCUGGUUUACCACUCGCUAGUGGCUCAACCAGUUCUAAAAAAAUAUACACUGGGAUUCAUACAGUUCUACUUCUGCGUUUAGGGGUUGUUUUCUCCCCACAUGUUUUUUUUUUCAUUCUUUUUUCUUUUUGU